AUUUAAUUCCUGUUUGAACUAGAGUACAUCUUUUUUAAAAAUUUCUAAUCUUGAUCUAAAAAUAGCCAGUGAUAAAGAAUCCACCAUAACCUUUGAUAAAUUAUUCUAAUAGUUAAUUACCCUCACCUGUUAAAAAUUUGCACCUUAUUUCCAGGCUCAAUUUUGUGAGAUACAGGUCCA